rnacentral:pre_miRNA from 1 species
CUUGUACUCCCUCUGUCCGAAAAUACUUGUCAUUGAAAUGGAUGUAUCUAGAUGUAUUGUAGUUCUAGACACAUCCAUUUUGAUGACAAGUAAUUCCGGACGGAGGGAGUACUUG